rnacentral:lncRNA from 1 species
AUGGUCCCUUUUUGGAUCAGGCAAGGGUUGUGCUGGAGCAGCACAGGCUGGACUGUGCCCUGGAGCCCUGGGCAGGGCUCAGCCAGGGGGGCGAAGUUGGGACCCGAAGGGAAACUGUGGUCCCUGGAGCUCUCAGCGAGGCUCCAAGGCCAGGGGGAAAGGCGUGGACCGAGGAACGUGUGUCCUGGAGCUCUCAGCAGGGCUCAGCCAGGGGGGCAAGGCUGGAGCAGGGACUGUGUCCUGGAGCCCUCAGCAGGGCUCAGCCAGGGGGGCAAGGCUGGAGCAGGGACUGUGCCCUGGAGCCCUCAGCAGGGCUCAGCCAGGGGCUCUGGGCAGGGCUGGAGCAGGGACUGUGCCCUGGAGCUCUCAGCAGGGCUCAGCCAGGGGCUCUGGGCAAGAGCAGGCAGCACCGAGCCCAAGACUGCCCUGGGCUGCUCUGCCUGGAGCUGUCCAAGCCUGGCCCAUCCAGAGGGGUUUGGCUGCUUGCUGCAGUCAGGGAUGAGCUGCCUCCAGCCCGAGCCCCCUUUGCACUAUUUUCUCCUGUCAGUCAGUGCCCAUGGCCGAGGCUCCCAAGGUGGAACAGCUCCCAGUUUGUGUUAAGGUUUAUUCCAUCAUCCCCUGGAGCCAGCUGAGCAGUCAGGGGCACUCAGUGGCUGAGAAAUCUCCGGGGUGGGUUUCCACCAAGGCCCUGGCUGUGGCUGAGGGGCAGGAUCAGCCAGCCCAGGGAUGGCACCAAGCCCAGGAGGGGCUGCUGGGGGGCUGGGCUUGUGCAGGAGCCCCCAGCCCCCACAGGCAGGGGAGGGUGAGCAGAGCCCUGGCGUGGGUCAGUGACCCCAUCUCGCCUCCCUGGACAUACCCUCAGUGAGGACCUGCAGCUCCUGAACCCCAACCUCCUCCCGGUGGGGAGGGCUGGGGCAGGGAGAGGGCACACAAAGCCUGGCUUGCUGCUUGGCUUAGGCCAGCUCUGAGCCAGGCUCUGGAGAAUAAAUGGGCAGGGAGAGGGCA